GACGAACGCUGGCGGCGUGCCUAAUACAUGCAAGUCGAACGCAGUGGGGACGGGUGAGUAACACGUGGGUAACCUCCCAUCAGAGGGGAUAACACUUGGAAACAGGUGCUAAACCGAUACUGAUGGAUGGACCCGCGGUGCAUUAGCUAGUUGGUGAGGUAACGGCUCAACAAGGCCACGAUGCAUUGCCGACCGGUGAGGGUGAUCGGCCACACUGGGACUGCAGCACGGCCCAGACUCCUAGGGGAGGCAGCAUUAGGGGAUCUUCGGCAAUUGACGAAGGUCUGACCGAGCAACGCCGCGUAAGUGAAGAAGGUUUUCGGAUCGUACAACUCUGUUGUUAGAGAAGCGGUAUCUAGCCAGAAAGCCACGGCUAACUACGUGCCAGCAGCCGCGGUGAUAC
rnacentral:rRNA from 1 species